rnacentral:tRNA from 1 species
GUCCAGGGUAGCCUAGUGGACCGGUAAGUGGAACACUGUGGGUUCGAUUCCCACCCUGGACA